CCUGUCUCUAGAGGUGUUGCAGUUGUGGCUGCUGUGUCCCAUGUUUGUCAGUAGGUGGAAGAGAGGACAGAAGCUUAUGUCUAGCUCACGGUUCUGACAUGUAAACAUCUGGAUGAUUAUUAGCCCAGCAU